rnacentral:rRNA from 1 species
GCUUAACGCGAAGAACCUUACCAGGCCUUGACAUGCACUAGACCGACUCUGAAAGGAGUCUUCCCUUCGGGGCUGGUGCACAGGUGCUGCAUGGCUGUCGUCAGCUCGUGUCGUGAGAUGUUGCGUUAAGUCGCGCAACGAGCGCAACCCCUGUCCUUAGUUGCCAUCAGGUAAAGCUGGGCACUCUAGGGAGACAAACCCUCUCUGAGGGUGGGAAGGUGGGGAUGACGUCAAGUCAGGAUGGCCCUUACGGCCUGGGCUGCACACGUGCUACAAUGCCCGGUACAGAGGGACGCAAUACCGUGAGGUGGAGCAAAUCCCAAAAACCGGGCCCAGUUCAGAUUGCAGUCUGCAACUCGACUGCAUGAAGCCGGAAUCGCUAGUAAUGGCGUAUCAGUUACGACGCCGUGAAUACGUUCCCGGGUCUUGUACACACCG